rnacentral:rRNA from 1 species
AUUGAACGCUGGCGGCAUGCUUUACACAUGCAAGUCGAACGGCAGCGCGGGCUUCGGCCUGGCGGCGAGUGGCGAACGGGUGAGUAAUACAUCGGAACGUGCCCAGUAGUGGGGGAUAGCUCGGCGAAAGCCGGAUUAAUACCGCAUACGACCUGAGGGUGAAAGCGGGGGAUCUUCGGACCUCGCGCUAUUGGAGCGGCCGAUGGCAGAUUUGCCAGUUGGUGGGGUAAAGGCCUACCAAGGCGACGAUCUGUAGCUGGUCUGAGAGGACGACCGGCCACACUGGGACUGAGACACGGCCCAGACUCCUACGGGAGGCAGCAGUGGGGAAUUUUGGACAAUGGGCGAAAGCCUGAUCCAGCAAUGCCGCGUGUGUGAUGAAGGCCUUCGGGUUGUAAAGCACUUUUGGCGGGAACGAAGAGGACUGUGCCAAUACCACGGUUCGAUGACGGUACCCGCAGAAUAAGCACCGGCUAACUACGUG